GGGGAAGGGACGUCUCUGUUGAGCCGGGAUUUGGGCCCCUGUCCCCGACAGACCCAUCAAGUGCGAGAUGACUGUGCGCAGGAACUUGAAGCUAAGCCGCAGAGAUAGAUAUUAAAUAACGGACCCCAAAUCAACAGGCUGGCUUCUAGGGUGUGAAGUGCAUGGUCCCCUUGCCGGACAUUUUCCACAGGCCUCAUAAGAGACAUCACUGCGGGAAAAUGGAUGGGACUGCAUCAGAAACUUUCUUUCUCCAAGUUUUCUCACCGUAAAGUCACAGCACUUCUCCAAGCCUCACU